rnacentral:tRNA from 1 species
AUCUGUUUGGAGUUGUGGUUAGUGCGCUCGGCUGUGGAUCCGUGCGACGUGGGUUCGAUUCCCCCUACCAGAUG